UGGGGAAUUUUGGACAAUGGGGGAAACCCUGAUCCAGCCAUGCCGCGUGAGUGAAGAAGGCCUUCGGGUUGUAAAGCUCUUUUGGCCGGAAAGAAAAGGCUACGGAUAACACCUGUGGUCCUUGACGGUACCGGCAGAAUAAGCACCGGCUAACUACGUGCCAGCAGCCGCGGUAAUACGUAGGGUGCGAGCGUUAAUCGGAAUUACUGGGCGUAAAGAGUGCGUAGGCGGUUCCGCAAGUCCGCUGUGAAAGCCCCGGGCUUAACCUGGGAAUGGCAGUGGAAACUAUGGGACUUGAAUCUGGCAGAGGGGGGUGGAAUGCCACGUGUAGCAGUGAAAUGCGUAGAGAUGUGGCGGAACACCGAUGGCGAAGGCAGCCCCCUGGGCUGAGAUUGACGCUCAGGCACGAAAGCGUGGGGAGCAAACAG
rnacentral:rRNA from 1 species